rfam:Chelonia mydas contig212312, whole genome shotgun sequence.
GUAGGAUAUGGUGACAUUUAUCCUAAGACUCUACUCGGAAAAAUAGUUGGAGGACUGUGUUGCAUUGCUGGAGUGCUGGUAAUCGCCCUGCCCAUACCAAUCAUUGUGAAUAAC